AACGAACGCUGGCGGCAUGCCUAACACAUGCAAGUCGAACGAGACCUUCGGGUCUAGUGGCGCACGGGUGCGUAACGCGUGGGAACCUGCCCUUAGGUUCGGAAUAACUCCCCGAAAGGGGUGCUAAUACCGGAUAAUGUCUUCGGACCAAAGAUUUAUCGCCUUUGGAUGGGCCCGCGUUGGAUUAGCUAGUUGGUAGGGUAAAAGCCUACCAAGGCGACGAUCCAUAGCUGGUCUGAGAGGAUGAUCAGCCACACUGGGACUGAGACACGGCCCAGACUCCUACGGGAAGCAGCAGUGGGGAAUAUUGGACAAUGGGCGAAAGCCUGAUCCAGCAAUGCCGCGUGAGUGAUGAAGGCCUUAGGGUCGUAAAGCUCUUUUACCCGGGAUGAUAAUGACAGUACCGGGAGAAUAAGCUCCGGCUAACUCCGUG
rnacentral:rRNA from 1 species